rnacentral:rRNA from 1 species
UACGUAGGGUGCGAGCGUUGUCCGGAAUUAUUGGGCGUAAAGAGCUCGUAGGCGGUCUGUCACGUCGGUCGUGAAAACUUGGGGCUUAACCCUGAGCUUGCGGUCGAUACGGGCAUGACUGGAGUUCGGCAGGGGAGACUGGAAUUCCCGGUGUAGCGGUGAAAUGCGCAGAUAUCGGGAGGAACACCAGUAGCGAAGGCGGCACUCUGGGCCGGUACUGGACGCUGAGGAGCGAAAGCGUGGGGAGCAAACAGG